CAUUUCGACCGGUUUUGCAUCGUGCCGACGAGGAUAAUGGAAUACCGCGUCACUUUUUGCCGGUGCACAGAAUAUUUUCUCGCGUUAAUAUCCGCGCAUUCUACCCCCUACUCCUUACUUCGUAUAUGCGCCAGCACGAUUCUAUCUCUUUUCUCACAAAAGAACUGGAUUAUCACAGGGGACGAUUACACACACGCGUGCAAAAAAUCCGGAAACGUAUCGAAAAGGUGAACGCCAUACGAAGACAAGAAACGAGUAUCUGAGAAUAUCAAAAUUUAAGAUCGAUCUCCAACAAAAUUCAUCCAUCACGUCUCAAUUUAAGGUUUUCAUCUACGAUAACGGUUAAUCAGCACGAGCUGGAUCUAUUCAAAUUUCGCCAUAUACGAGGAGAAAAUAGUUGAAAGUUUCGAGUGGCACGAUCAAUCAUUCUCAAAUGCAAAAUUACUGACAAAGGGGCGCUAUCGAUUUACCUUGCCACGGCACGAAUUAAUCAAAUAAUUCGAGGCGAGCGACGAAGCGGCGAGGAGAAAGGGGAAGGAACGAGAAGGAAGGCGGUCAGAGAAGAACAUCGAGAGACUUUUAAAACGGGGUUGCGUAAUCCUUUGGAUUUAGUUUACUUUCGUCGGUGUCGAUGCCACGCACGUAGCGUGACCGUGGCACUGAACCAGCGGCACGAACUUUCUCGUGGCCUUCGUUCCAGGAAGACGAUUUACGUGACAUGAGCAGGACGCCAAUGACUGCGAACGGUCAUCGACGGGGGCCGAGCAACGCCUCUCCAUCAGAGAUAGCCGUGAAUACAACUCCUCGAUUUCGAAUUGAUUAUCGCCGUGUAGCCCAAGGGAAUCGAGUCCUAGUGAAAUGAAUUUUUUAAAAACACGGUGACGCAAUCUUACGUAAUGGUACAAGAAUAGAAAAGCUAAUAUCGAAGCUAAGAACAAACUAUUAUAUAUUUCCCCUCAAAAUAUACCAAUAGAUUGCCUUUUUUUUUUUAAUCUUAUUUUUCCUCACCGUUUGUUUUUCAUUUUGGAACAAAUAGACGAUUACAGUGGCGCUAUUAAUUCUCACUAAGAAAUUGAUAAGUGAUAUUUUCCAAUUUUUACAACGGAAUAGUUUUGAAUUUGUACUAAAUUCUUUUAAAAAAGUUCCACUAAACGAUUUGAAAAAAGUAUUAAGUUAAAUUACUAAAAAUGGAGUCAUCAAUUUUUCCCUCUUCUAUGCUCAAUAAUGUUUUUUUCCCUCACGAAUAUUUACAUUUCACGAAUAACGUUAAAAAUUACUCCACAUUGUAUACAAGUUCUAUCAAAGUGGCAGAUAAUAGAUUCAGUUUAUGAAUCGAUAAGCAAGUCGUAUAUAUGUAUUUUACAUCCUUAUUCUCUCAACCCUUUCAUUUCUCUUAAGUCAAUUUCACAAUUACAUCGCAUCGCCAUGAUGGAUAGGCACCCACAUAUAAAAUAACAUACACCGAAGCGAAGAAAACUUUCCUGCCUCAUAAUUCACCAUCGAUCAAUAAAACUCAAUC